rnacentral:rRNA from 1 species
GAUGAACGCUAGCUACAGGCUUAACACAUGCAAGUCGAGGGGCAUGCAUGGUCUUAGCUUGCUAAGGCUGAUGGCGACCGGCGCACGGGUGAGUAACACGUAUCCAACCUGCCGUCUACUCUUGGACAGCCUUCUGAAAGGAAGAUUAAUACAAGAUGGCAUCAUGAGUCCGCAUGUUCACAUGAUUAAAGGUAUUCCGGUAGACGAUGGGGAUGCGUUCCAUUAGAUAGUAGGCGGGGUAACGGCCCACCUAGUCUUCGAUGGAUAGGGGUUCUGAGAGGAAGGUCCCCCACAUUGGAACUGAGACACGGUCCAAACUCCUACGGGAGGCAGCAGUGAGGAAUAUUGGUCAAUGGGCGAGAGCCUGAACCAGCCAAGUAGCGUGAAGGAUGACUGCCCUAUGGGUUGUAAACUUCUUUUAUAAAGGAAUAAAGUCGGGUAUGGAUACCCGUUUGCAUGUACUUUAUGAAUAAGGAUCGGUAACUCCGUGCCAGCAGCCGCGGUAAUACGGAGGAUCCGAGCGUUAUCCGGAUUUAUUGGGUUUAAAGGGAGCGUAGAUGGAUGUUCUAAGUCAGUUGUGAAAGUUUGCGGCUCAACCGUAAAAUUGCAGUUGAUACUGGAUAUCUUGAGUGCAGUUGAGGCAGGCGGAAUUCGUKGUGUAGCGGUGAAAUGCUUAGAUAUCACGAAGAACUCCGAUUGCGAAGGCAGCCUGCUAAGCUGCAACUGACGUUGAGGCUCGAAAGUGUGGGUAUCAAACAGGAUUAGAUACCCUGGUAGUCCACACGGUAAACGAUGAAUACUCGCUGUUUGCGAUAUACUGCAAGCGGCCAAGCGAAAGCGUUAAGUAUUCCACCUGGGGAGUACGCCGGCAACGGUGAAACUCAAAGGAAUUGACGGGGGCCCGCACAAGCGGAGGAACAUGUGGUUUAAUUCGAUGAUACGCGAGGAACCUUACCCGGGCUCAAACGCCGUCUGACGUACCCUGAAAGGGGUAUUUCUUCGGACAGGCGGACGAGGUGCUGCCAUGGUUGUCGUCAGCUCGAUGCCGUGAGGUGUCGGCUUAAGUGCCAUAACGAGCGCAAACCCUGUCGACAGUUGCUAACAGGUUAGGCUGAGGACUCUGUCGAGACUGCCGGCGCAAGCUGUGAGGAAGGCGGGGAUGACGUCAAAUCAGCACGGCCCUUACGUCCGGGGCGACACACGUGUUACAAUGGCAGGUACAGCGGGAAGCCACCCGGCGACGGGGCGCGGAACCCGAAAACCUGUCUCAGUUCGGAUUGGAGUCUGCAACCCGACACCAUGAAGCUGGAUUCGCUAGUAAUCGCGCAUCAGCCACGGCGCGGUGAAUACGUUCCCGGGCCUUGUACACACCGCCCGUCAAGCCAUGGAAGCCGGGGGUGCUUGAAGUGCGUCGCCGCAAGGCGCGCCCUAGAGCAAAACCGGUGACUGGGGC